AUCCAGUUGACGAGUCCUAAAAUAGGAUGAAACACGUGUCAAACUUGGAU
rnacentral:hammerhead_ribozyme from 1 species